rnacentral:rRNA from 1 species
AACGAACGCUGGCGGCAUGCCUAACACAUGCAAGUCGAACGAGACCUUCGGGUCUAGCGGCGCACGGGUGCGUAACACGUGGGAAUCUGCCCUUUGCUUCGGAAUAACAGUUAGAAAUGACUGCUAAUACCGGAUGAUGUCGAAAGACCAAAGAUUUAUCGGCAAAGGAUGAGCCCGCGUAGGAUUAGGUAGUUGGUGGGGUAAAGGCCUACCAAGCCGACGAUCCUUAGCUGGUCUGAGAGGAUGAUCAGCCACACUGGGACUGAGACACGGCCCAGACUCCUACGGGAGGCAGCAGUGGGGAAUAUUGGACACUGGGCGAAAGCCUGAUCCAGCAAUGCAGCGUGAGUGAUGAAGGCCUUAGGGCAGUAAAGCUCUUUUACCAGGGAUGAUAAUGACAGUACCUGGAGAAUAAGCUCCGGCUAACUCCGUG